rnacentral:rRNA from 1 species
CAGCCGCCGCGGUAAUACGAAGGGGGCUAGCGUUGCUCGGAAUCACUGGGCGUAAAGGGUGCGUAGGCGGGUUUUUAGGUCAGAGGUGAAAUCCUGGAGCUCAACUCCAGAACUGGCUUUGAUACUGAAAGUCUUGAGUAUGGGAGAGGUGAGUGGAACUGCGAGUGUAGAGGUGAAAUUCGUAGAUAUUCGCAAGAACACCAGUGGCGAAGGCGGCUCACUGGACGACUGUUGACGCUGAGGCACGAAAGCGUGGGGAGCAAACAGGAUUAGAUACCCCAGUAGUCCCUGUCUCUUAUAC